GGUACAGAUACUUGUUUAAGAGGGAUUUGGGUUUCUACUACCACAUGAGACAAGGAACGUAGGACAUCUUUUCUGUUUUGUCCAGUACCUGGCAGCUGGUUUGAGAAAUGUCAACCUGGAAGUAGCCUCAACUCUGAGGAAACUCAAAGGCAAGUAAAAUAUAGUAAUCUGUAGCAGAAAAAUGGGCUUCAGUAUUCAAGUCUGCGGCUGAGUUGGGGAGCUGGGGACGGUAACCAGUUCCAAAAAAAAGCAGCUUAGUGUGAAAUUUGUGGGAAAGAUGCUGUUCAGAGUUUAAUUUCAUUAUUUAGUUAACCAAUGAAAAUCCAGCAGAAAAAAAAGGUAAAUAAUUUUAGGAGAUGGUAAAAA